CUUGUACUCCCUCCGUUCAGAAAUACUUGUCCUAGAAAUGGUUGUGUCUAGACUUAUUUUAGUUCUAGAUACAACCAUUUUUAAGACAAGUAUUUCCGAUCGGAGGGAGUAUUUU
rfam:Triticum urartu cultivar G1812 contig214566, whole genome shotgun sequence.